rnacentral:tRNA from 1 species
UCACUGAUGGUCUGACAGUUAAGACUCUGCACUCCCAGUGCAGGGGGCCUGGGUUCGAUCCCGGGUCAGGAAA